rnacentral:lncRNA from 1 species
UGAGUCCUUAUAUGGAAGGCAUCAUCAGUACCAGCAAGGACACACAUACAGCCACAAAGCAAGACCUAGGAGAAAUAUUUGGUGCUCUACUCUCCUAGGGAACUGGAAGGAACCUGCUCUCUCCUGGGUAUACUUUUCUAAUUUUAGAGUGCUAAAGAAGCUCUUCUCACAGGGACCCGAGUGAAUCCUUUCUCCUUGGAACAAAGGACAAGAAAAAAAGAAAGGACUUUACCGCAGAAAUGAUGAAGAUCAUGUCUCCAAGUCUUUUCUGCCGUUGCCAGUAUUCUCUCCCAAUCUCCUGUGGGCAACUUCUUCGGGAAAACACUCAUGCAAUUUCAUAAGGACAAGCGAAAAUAUGAAGAAGCUGGAUCUUGGAACUAGGCUUUGAUCACAGAGCGGAGCUGAGAUGAAAGUCCAUCCACUCAUUCAACAAAUAAUUGAAUGCCACAUUUUGUUGGAACUCAGAGUUAUGAGUGGCCCUCGCCAUACCUACACUUUCUGACUGAGCUCCUCUCUACCCUGAAUACAAGAGACCCUAAUAGGCAGGAAUAUCAUCACCCCUCUUCAGCCUGAAGAUGUUACAGAAGAUGGAUAUUUGUCCGUUUACAACCCUUAAGAUUAAGGGUUCCCCUGUAAAAGGGAGGGGGAAAAUAUGUCAGAGAUGUUUGAACCAGAGCAACUUCGUCCUGAAUAGUGGCUCGGUAAAGUGAGGCUGACACCUAUGGACUGCAUUCCCAGGAGGUUAGGCAUUCUUAGUUACGGGAUGAAAUAGGAGUUUGGCACAAGAUGGGUCAUAAAGACCUUGCUGAUAAAAGGAUGUGGUACAGAAGCUGGCCAAAACUCACCAAAAUCAAGAUGUGAUGAAAGUGACUUCUGGUAGUCCUCACUCCUCAUUACACUAAUUAUAAUGCAUUAGCAUGCUAAAAGACACGUUCACCAGCACCAUUAUGGUUUACAAAUGCCAUGGCAAUAUCAGCAAGUUACCCUAUAUGGUCUUAAAAGGGGAGGAACCCUCAGUUCUGGGAAUUGCCCACCACUUUCCCAGGAAACUCAUGAAUAAUCCACCCUUUAUUUAGCAAAUAAUCAAGAAAUAACUAUAAGUAUAAUCAGUUGAGCAGCCCAUGCCACUGCUCUGCCUGUGGAAUAGCCACUCUUUUAUUCCUUUACUUUUUUAAUAAACUUGUUUUCACUUUACUCUAUGGACUCGCCCUGAAUUCUGUCUUGUGCAAGGUCCAAGAACCUUCUCUUGGGGUCUGGAUCAGGAC